UUGUCCCCUGCAGCGCUGGGUGGUGCCUGUUCCCUACCACAUGGCUGUGUGAGCAGACCUCUUGCCUCCUUCUCCCACCUGGGAGAGUAACUGAUGCUGCUCACCACCAAACCGCUCACUGCAGAGCAGGUCCCCCAGCAGGCUUUGUGUGCCACACCAGCAGCAGCCAGUACCCCUAGAAACCCACCCAGAGGGAACUAGGCCCUGGGACCUGCAGCACCACUGGCUCCAGACACUGCUCAGCUCUGUUUCUGCUGCAGCGAGGCACCCCGAGGGCCCGGGGGCUGUGGUAUGGCUGCAGCCUGCUGGCAAUUGGCUGUGGAACUGCCCCAUCCCUUCUGUGUGGUUUUCCAGGCAACAAAGUACUGCAGCCCCUGCGGUACACUCAGAUAGCUGCAGCCACCUUCGUGUCUCCAAAAAGAGUGGUGGGGUGCAUCCAGGCCACCAUGUCCCUCUUCUCUCGCUGCAUCAUGCAGGGAAGAAAUGUUGUGCUCGUCCUGAGGGACAUUGGUAUGCUCCUCAUCGAAGGUGCCCGAGUGCAAAUGAAAUACUAUCAUGACUUCCUGGAAGUGAUGGCAGGGAAAGACACCCUGAAGGAAGUUCUGUUGAGAGUUUGAACUGCAGUGUGUUCAUCACAUGGCACUCAGCGGCGCAAGGAAACCCGUGAAAGGGCGUGCCAGGGAGCAGGGCCAGAGGCCUGCAGGGAAGCGCCCUCAAGCAGCAGAGCCUCCAACAGCAGCCAGGAGCGUGGCCCCGGGAGGCAGUGCCAGCCACCAGGGACCCAGGCUGAAAGGUACCUCCCUGGCUGUGAGGGUCUUCUUGCAGCCAGGUGCCCCAAGCCUGGGGCGAAGGCAGUGACAGGGUGAUGUGGUACCAGAAGGUGGGCAGGAUGCUGAGCCCUGUGCCCGUGCCAGCUGCUCCUCUUGCACCAGGUCUGGGGUCACUGGCUUGCUGCUGCUGGCCACGUGAUGGCAUGUGUGUGCAGGUUGGCUUCUUGUCUCUCUGCUAUGAAAUAAAAAUGCACCUUUGC